ACACGGAGUUUAAGGACCGCGUCUCCCGAGAUGCCAGAGGGACCUGCGUCCGGACUGCCCCAGUGUGACCCGCAUACCUACCGGCCCCGACCCCGAACCCCAUGGCGUCCACCCGAGCCCUGGCGCUGCUGGGUCUCCUGCUGCUGCCGCUGCUCGCAGAGCCCAAGAAACUCUGCCCGCAGCUUCUGACGGUCAUUAACCAGUUUCUGACCAAGGACAAGAACACCUACAUGGAUUCUGUCAACAGAUACCACCUCACGGAGCUGGAAAGAAACACAGCCUCCAAACUCAAGGACUGCGUGACCGACACAAUGACCCCCGAGGAGACACAGGCCGUCGUGCAGCAGGAAGAAAUCAACAACCAGUGUGCCGACACGUUAUUGAAGUAACACCAGCCACGGGCACCUUGGGUUCCUGUCCAGGCUGCCUGUCCCACCCAUGAGAAUCUGGGCCCAGGGCCCCGCCCUCCCCAGCUCCCGCCCUGCUGCUGCCUCUACUGCCUCUCCUGCUGUGCUGAUUGGGGCAAGCCUGGGAACAGCUGCCCCCCAACCCCCCCCCCACCCAGGCCUGUCCCCUGCGGGACAAUGCUGCCUAAUAAACUCACCUGCAUCCA
rnacentral:lncRNA from 1 species